rnacentral:rRNA from 1 species
AUGUCAGAAAAAUUGGCGCACCGAGACGCGAUCUGUCUCUCUCUUGGCAAGGUAUGGUGUCCGAUUAAAGGGAUCGACUGCAGAGAGAUUGGGGCCAACCAGUUCCUAUUCACUUUCCACCAAGAGACGGGGAAGCGUAAGGCGAUCGAGGAUGGACCAUGGAUGUUUGAUAAGAAGUUGGUAGUGGUUGAGGAUUAUGUGCCCAGUAAAAGGCCAGAAGACUAUGCUCACAACAACAUCCCCAUCUGGGUUAGGAUUUAUAACCUACCCCUCAGUAUGAUGAACGAAGAAGCUGCAGAGGACAUAGGAAACAUCAUAGGCAUGUAUGUGGAGGCAGAUACUGGACCAUAUGGGAAAGCUUUUGGAAGGUUUCUUAGAGUCAAAAUCAGGAUGCAGAUCGACAAGCCAUUGAUGAGGGGUUUUACUCUUGACGAAGAAGCUGCUGUGGGAGAGGAAAGGGACAAUGGGAAGGCAGACAUGGUGAGUGGUGAUGGAAAGGAGGAGAAGGGCUGGUGUCGGCUGGAGUAUGAGUUUUUGCCAGAUUUUUGCUAUACUUGUGGGACUAUUGGCCAUGGAGAGAAAGAUUGUACCAUCAAACUUAAGAAGGGAGAACAUGCCCAAUUUGGUCGGCGGUUGAGAGCGGGAUGUAGGUGA